GGAUGUAAGGGAGAUCUGGCUGUGACACCCAUCACCCACGGAUCUCAGGAUUGAUCCUACUUAUCUGGCUGGCUAGAUGCGUGUCCCCUUCCUCCCUCUCCACUCUGUGUGCCCCUCUCAAAGCCAUGUGCUCGGUGGAAGAGGGUGACCCCAACGAUUGAUGGUGUGUUUCUCAUAUGAGGGUGGUCAACAUUCUAAUUUCUGCACCAGCUUUAUUUUAUUUAACCUAAUGCCUUGGAGCACCAUCCAAGUUGUGUCAAUAAAUGUGUUAUAAAAUAAGUGUCACCUAAAAUAUCAAGAAACUGGGCAAAGAAGUCAUUU
rnacentral:snRNA from 1 species